GACAAUUUGUUCAGGCCAACCAUUAUCAC
rnacentral:piRNA from 1 species